rnacentral:rRNA from 1 species
AUUGAACGCUGGCGGCAUGCCUUACACAUGCAAGUCGAACGGCAGCACGGGAGCAAUCCUGGUGGCGAGUGGCGAACGGGUGAGUAAUGUAUCGGAACGUACCUUUCAGUGGGGGAUAACGUAGCGAAAGUUACGCUAAUACCGCAUAUUCUGUGAGCAGGAAAGCAGGGGAUCGCAAGACCUUGCGCUGAUUGAGCGGCCGAUAUCAGAUUAGCUAGUUGGUGAGGUAAAGGCUCACCAAGGCGACGAUCUGUAGCGGGUCUGAGAGGAUGAUCCGCCACACUGGAACUGAGACACGGUCCAGACUCCUACGGGAGGCAGCAGUGGGGAAUUUUGGACAAUGGCGCAAGCCUGAUCCAGCCAUGCCGCGUGAGUGAAG